AUUGAACGCUGGCGGCAGGCCUAACACAUGCAAGUCGAGCGGAUGAAGGGAGCUUGCUCCUGGAUUCAGCGGCGGACGGGUGAGUAAUGCCUAGGAAUCUGCCUGGUAGUGGGGGAUAACGUCCUGAAACGGGCGCUAAUACCGCAUACGUCCUGAGGGAGAAAGUGGGGGAUCUUCGGACCUCACGCUAUCAGAUGAGCCUAGGUCGGAUUAGCUAGUUGGUGGGGUAAAGGCCUACCAAGGCGGCGAUCCGUAACUGGUCUGAGAGGAUGAUCAGUCACACUGGAACUGAGACACGGUCAAGACUACUAAGGGAGGCAGCAGUGGGGAAUAUUAGACAACGGGCGAAAGCAUGACCCAGCCAUGCCGAGUGUGUGAAGACGGUCUUCGGAUUGUAAAGCCCUUUAAGUUGGGAGGAAGGGCAGUAAGUUAAUACCUUGCUGUUUUGACGUUACCAACAGAAUAAGCACCGGCUAACUUCGUG
rnacentral:rRNA from 1 species